rnacentral:lncRNA from 1 species
UUGUCUUUUGGACUCUGUACAGACUCACUAAUAAGGCUGCUCUGGCGACCCUUUUUGGGUUUUCUGUUACGGAUAUUGGAAAGAUGGAGAGGUACUGAAAACAUAGAAUUGGGUAAGUGGUGUUCUUGCACAACUUAUAGAUGUUAGCCCUUGCAGGUGAAUUUCUGUCGAGGCGUGAUUCUACGGGACCUGAAAUGGAGAAGAUGGAGAGAACAAGCAAUAGCAACGAAAGGCUAAGGUUAGGCAUUUUCCAAGAGAAGAGAAAGGUAUCAAACGACAAAAGGCCCUUAUGAGUUGGUACUAGUUAUUUAUAUAUAUAUCAUUAUAGAAAGGCCUAGUCACUUCACUGUGUUUAAUUUUUAAUUUUUCUUUUAACAGCCACGGUACUUGAUCUAAUCGCUUACUAACUUAUCCUAUAAUGCUGCAGUUUAGAAAAAAUGGGUUUUAAUUUUCUCAAAUCUCUCAAAAUCUAUGUAAUCAGAAGAUAAAAUCUUUAUAAGAAGAGGGAAAAAAGAAAGGGAUAACAAUGAGUAUUGGCUCAAUGGUAUUAAAUGUAAGAUUUUGAGUUUAAAUUUGAGGAGGAGUCUAAUUCAAAUGAAAAUUAAAAAGAAUCCCUUAUAAAUUUGAUGGAGUGAGUAGAUUUGGGCCAAAUCUUGAGAGAAGAUCAACUUAGCCAUUGCAUCCUAUCCUAUGAGAGUAGGCUAAAGAUUCAUGAAUUCCGGGCCAGGUUCGUUGAACAAGAAGAGUUGAUGUGGUUACGUUUUGGUUUUCCAUGGUAAUUAACGUAGUUACAUUUCAAUAAACGCCCUAUAAAAUCUUGAGGCAACUGUCGGUUCCGACUCUUAAACUUAAUUAAGCUUAUUCAGAACAUGCACUUGCCAGCAAAUCUUUGUCUCAUAUCAGCAAGAGAAGUGGGGCAACUAUCGCAGUUGAAAAUAACAUGCGGACUACCAUUGAAUCCAACUCCACCACUAGUUUCAUAAUAUCCUCCGUCCCAAUUAAUACUCCAGCCCCACCGUAACUACCCAAAACUCAGCUUGCAUUGUGAUGCGCCGCUACUGCAUCCGUCUCGGAACCGUCACAAUUCACUGUCAGAAACUUCACGCAUUGGAAAUUCUUUGUGCCCUACCAGAGUCUUCCACUCAUGUACCAUUUUUAACUCUUGAUCUGAUUUUUGUGACACCAGUCCUUUCGAGAUUAAUACCAUACCGUGAAUUAGGGUUCUAGUUGUUGCUCUGAUUUAUAACCCAUUCUAGUUGUGAACAUCUGAUGAUUUUUAAAUUAAAAAAAAAAAGAAUCAACACAUAUUUUGUUAGGUCUUGUUCUUGGUCUUGGCAGCUGUGUCCUUACUACCUAAUAAUGUCUACUAGUGCAGCCAUCCAUGGAAUCACAAAUCACCAGGAUAAGUACCCACCAAUACGACUAACAUUCAAGUUAUGACAAAGUAAAAAUAAUAAAAUUUUAUUAGUUAAAAUUUAUUUACAAAUUAAAAAUUUAUGUCCUUUGAAUUAAAUAAAAAUUAAUAUAAAAUUUUACGUAUUUAAAUUUAUAAAAAAUUGAUUAUAGUUAAAUUAAAUUUUAAUAAAAUAAAUAAAAUAUUUAGAUAUAUUUAUUUAUAUUUUAUUUUAUUUUCAAUAUAUCUCUUUUAAAUAAAAUAAAUUUUAAAAAAAAAUUCAACCAAAACAUUGAUUAUUAUUAUAAUCUAAAAACCGAAAUUAUAAUUUAACAUUUAUAAAUAAGUAAUCAAAUAAAUAGAUGACGACCUAGGUCGCAUAUUUGGCAAAUUGGCAAAACAAGCCCUGUUUCGCAUUCAGAGCCUUGGCCUUAAUUGUAGCCAUUAACUUGCCCAUAUUCUUCCUCCUCAGGUUAGGCAUCAAACUCAUCAGCGAAGCGUCAGUUGGGCGGCGCUGAGCAAGGUCUGAAUGUUAAACACAUGGCAAGAAAUGUCCGCAAUUGGCAUCUACUUCUCCUUGGCUUCCCAGUCUCGGUUCAGUUAUUGACUGGCUAAGAAUGUCCACCUCGAGAUCAAAUACUUCUUUACAUUCUUCCACAAAGUCCAUAAUCCCUAGUUGCCUCUUUACUUCUAAUUGCCUGGAUGUAUAAUCUUGUAGACCAACAUGGCAGCUUUAGCUAGCUUCUUGGGGUUUUGGAUUACGGAGUUUGUAAAUAUGGAGAGAUAUUGAAUACAUAGGGCUGGAUAAUAUGGAGAUUGGUUGUUCUUGCAUGUGACCAGCUCCUAGAAUAGAGUGAAUCUGCUGGAGCUGGAGCUGGAGAGAACAAGUAAUAGCAAGGAAAGGGAAAGGCUUGGAUUGGCAUUUUUACUUUUAAGAGCAGAGAAGGAUCGUAAAACGCCUUUUGCUUGUUGGAAGAAGUAUAAGAUGUAUAAUUAAGUGUUUCAUAUGACUUCAAAUAAUAAC